rnacentral:rRNA from 1 species
AAUUUUGGACAAUGGGGGAAACCCUUAUCCAUCCAUCACGCGUGUAUGAUGAAGGCCUCCGGGUUGUAUAGUACUUUAUGCAGAGAUGAAAAGGUAUCUCCUAAUACGAGAUACUGCUGACGGUAUCUGCAGAAUAAGCACCGGCUAACUACGUGCCAGCAGCCGCGGUAAUACGUAGGGUGCAAGCGUAAAUCGGAAUUACUGGGCGUAAAAAGUGUGUAGGCGGUUCGGAAAGAAAGAUGUGAAAUCCCAGGGCGCAACCUUGGAACUGCAUUUUUAACUGCCGAGCUAGAGUAUGUCAGAGGGGGGUAGAAUUCCACGUGUAGCAGUGAAAUGCGUAGAUAUGUGGAGGAAUACCGAUGGCGAAGGCAGCCCCCUGGGAUAAUACUGACGCUCAGACACGAAAGCGUGGGGAGCAAACA